rnacentral:rRNA from 1 species
CCGGCAGUCGAACGAUGAUCCCAGCUUGCUGGGGGAUUAGUGGCGAACGGGUGAGUAACACGUGAGUAACCUGCCCUUGACUCUGGGAUAAGCCUGGGAAACUGGGUCUAAUACCGGAUACGACCAUUCCACGCAUGUGGUGGUGGUGGAAAGCUUUUGUGGUUUUGGAUGGACUCGCGGCCUAUCAGCUUGUUGGUGGGGUAAUGGCCUACCAAGGCGACGACGGGUAGCCGGCCUGAGAGGGUGACCGGCCCCACUGGGACUGAGACACGGCCCAGACUCAUACGGGAGGCAGCAGUGGGGAAUAUUGCACAAUGGGCGCAAGCCUGAUGCAGCGACGCCGCGUGAGGGAUGACGGCCUUCGGGUUGUAAACCUCUUUCAGUAGGGAAGAAGCGAAAGUGACGGUACCUGCAGAAGAAGCGCCGGCUAACUACGUGCCAGCAGCCGCGGUAAUACGUAGGGCGCAAGCGUUAUCCGGAAUUAUUGGGCGUAAAGAGCUCGUAGGCGGUUUGUCGCGUCUGCUGUGAAAGACCGGGGCUCAACUCCGGUUCUGCAGUGGGUACGGGCAGACUAGAGUGCAGUAGGGGAGACUGGAAUUCCUGGUGUAGCGGUGAAAUGCGCAGAUAUCAGGAGGAACACCGAUGGCGAAGGCAGGUCUCUGGGCUGUAACUGACGCUGAGGAGCGAAAGCAUGGGGAGCGAACAGGAUUAGAUACCCUGGUAGUCCAUGCCGUAAACGUUGGGCACUAGGUGUGGGGGACAUUCCACGUUUUCCGCGCCGUAGCUAACGCAUUAAGUGCCCCGCCUGGGGAGUACGGCCGCAAGGCUAAAACUCAAAGGAAUUGACGGGGGCCCGCACAAGCGGCGGAGCAUGCGGAUUAAUUCGAUGCAACGCGAAGAACCUUACCAAGGCUUGACAUGAACCGGUAAUACCUGGAAACAGGUGCCCCGCUUGCGGUCGGUUACAGUGGUGCAUGGUUGUCGUCAGCUCGUGUCGUGAGAU